GCUUGCAUCAUGAUUUACAUUUGAGUGAGUGGCGAACUGGUGAGUAACACGUGGGAAACCUGCCCAGAAGCGGGGGAUAACACCUGGAAACAGAUGCUAAUACCGCAUAACAACUUGGACCGCAUGGUCCGAGUUUGAAAGAUGGCUUCGGCUAUCACUUUUGGAUGGUCCCGCGGCGUAUUAGCUAGAUGGGGUAACGGCUCACCAUGGCAAUGAUACGUAGCCGACCUGAGAGGGUAAUCGGCCACAUUGGGACUGAGACACGGCCCAAACUCCUACGGGAGGCAGCAGUAGGGAAUCUUCCACAAUGGACGAAAGUCUGAUGGAGCAACGCCGCGUGAGUGAAGAAGGGUUUCGGCUCGUAAAACUCUGUUGUUAAAGAAGAACAUAUCUGAGAGUAACUGUUCAGGUAUUGACGGUAUUUAACCAGAAAGCCACGGCUAACUACGUGCCAGCAGCCGCGGUAAUACGUAGGUGGCAAGCGUUGUCCGGAUUUAUUGGGCGUAAAGCGAGCGCAGGCGGUUUUUUAAGUCUGAUGUGAAAGCCUUCGGCUCAACCGAAG
rnacentral:rRNA from 1 species